UACAGAGGUGGCAAGCGUUGUUCGGAAUUACUGGGCGUAAAGGGCGCGUAGGCGGCCAUCUAAGUCAGACGUGAAAUCCCCCGGCUUAACCUGGGAACUGCGUCUGAUACUGGACGGCUCGAGUUUGGGAGAGGGAUGCAGAAUUCCAGGUGUAGCGGUGAAAUGCGUAGAUAUCUGGAGGAACACCGGUGGCGAAGGCGGCAUCCUGGACCGGUAUUGACGCUGAGGCGCGAAAGCCAGGGGAGCAAACGGG
rnacentral:rRNA from 1 species